AUGCUAUAAGUAGGAAACAAACUUAGUCUUGUAAACUAAGUUAGAAAGUUAAACUCUUUCAUAUAGCU
rnacentral:tRNA from 1 species